UGGGGAAUUUUGGACAAUGGGCGAAAGCCUGAUCCAGCAAUGCCGCGUGUGUGAAGAAGGCCUUCGGGUUGUAAAGCACUUUUGUCCGGAAAGAAAUCCUUGGCUCUAAUACAGUCGGGGGAUGACGGUACCGGAAGAAUAAGCACCGGCUAACUACGUGCCAGCAGCCGCGGUAAUACGUAGGGUGCAAGCGUUAAUCGGAAUUACUGGGCGUAAAGCGUGCGCAGGCGGUUUGCUAAGACCGAUGUGAAAUCCCCGGGCUCAACCUGGGAACUGCAUUGGUGACUGGCAGGCUAGAGUAUGGCAGAGGGGGGUAGAAUUCCACGUGUAGCAGUGAAAUGCGUAGAGAUGUGGAGGAAUACCGAUGGCGAAGGCAGCCCCCUGGGCCAAAUACUGACGCUCAUGCACGAAAGCGUGGGGAGCAAAACAGGAUUAGAUACCCUGGUAGUCCACGCCCUAAACGAUGUCAACUAGUUGUUGGGGAUUCAUUUCCUUAGUAACGUAGCUAACGCGUGAAGUUGACCGCCUGGGGAGUACGGUCGCAAGAUUAAAACUCAAAUGAAUUGAC
rnacentral:rRNA from 1 species